rnacentral:other from 1 species
UUGUGUCUGAUAUAUUCGAUGCUGUUUAAAUGCUUUGUACCUAAUUUAUUAUUAAGGGAUCAAACCGUUAGCAUUUUGAGCAUGCCUUUUAUAUUAAAGGAAGCCUUCCGCUAAUCAGAGAGCCCACUUGAACAUACUGGUUCAAGGAUAUAAACAGUUUCGGUAUAUUGGAUAUUCA